rnacentral:rRNA from 1 species
GAUGAACGCUAGCUACAGGCUUAACACAUGCAAGUCGAGGGGUAGCAGGGUAGCAAUACCGCUGACGACCGGCGCACGGGUGAGUAACACGUAUCCAACCUUCCCAUAACUCUGGGAUAGCCCUUCGAAAGAAAGAUUAAUACCGGAUGGUACUUUUUCAAGGCAUCUUGAGAAAGUUAAAGAUUUAUUGGUUAUGGAUGGGGAUGCGUUCCAUUAGAUAGUUGGUGAGGUAACGGCUCACCAAGUCUUCGAUGGAUAGGGGUUCUGAGAGGAAGGUCCCCCACAUUGGUACUGAGACACGGACCAAACUCCUACGGGAGGCAGCAGUGAGGAAUAUUGGUCAAUGGGCAGAGCCUGAACCAGCCAAGUAGCGUGAAGGAUGAAGGUCCUAUGGAUUGUAAACUUCUUUUAUAGUAGAAUAAAGUGAUCCACGUGUGGAUUUUGUAUGUAUACUAUGAAUAAGGAUCGGCUAACUCCGUG